rnacentral:rRNA from 1 species
GACGAACGUUGGCGGCGUGCUUAACACAUGCAAGUCGAACGGAAAGGCCCUGCUUUUGUGGGGUGCUCGAGUGGCGAACGGGUGAGUAACACGUGAGUAACCUGCCCUUGACUUUGGGAUAACUUCAGGAAACUGGGGCUAAUACCGGAUAGGAGCUCCUGCUGCAUGGUGGGGGUUGGAAAGUUUCGGCGGUUGGGGAUGGACUCGCGGCUUAUCAGCUUGUUGGCGGGGUAGUGGCUUACCAAGGCUUUGACGGGUAGCCGGCCUGAGAGGGUGGCCGGCCACAUUGGGACUGAGAUACGGCCCAGACUCCUACGGGAGGCAGCAGUGGGGAAUAUUGCACAAUGGGCGGAAGCCUGAUGCAGCAACGCCGCGUGCGGGAUGACGGCCUUCGGGUUGUAAACCGCUUUCGCCUGUGACGAAGCGUGAGUGACGGUAAUGGGUAAAGAAGCACCGGCUAACUACGUGCCAGCAGCCGCGGUGAUACGUAGGGUGCGAGCGUUGUCCGGAUUUAUUGGGCGUAAAGGGCUCGUAGGUGGUUGAUCGCGUCGGAAGUGUAAUCUUGGGGCUUAACCCUGAGCGUGCUUUCGAUACGGGUUGACUUGAGGAAGGUAGGGGAGAAUGGAAUUCCUGGUGGAGCGGUGGAAUGCGCAGAUAUCAGGAGGAACACCAGUGGCGAAGGCGGUUCUCUGGGCCUUUCCUGACGCUGAGGAGCGAAAGCGUGGGGAGCGAACAGGCUUAGAUACCCUGGUAGUCCACGCUGUAAACGGUGGGUACUAGGUGUGGGGUCCAUUCCACGGGUUCCGUGCCGUAGCUAACGCUUUAAGUACCCCGCCUGGGGAGUACGGCCGCAAGGCUAAAACUCAAAGGAAUUGACGGGGCCCCGCACAAGCGGCGGAGCAUGCGGAUUAAUUCGAUGCAACGCGUAGAACCUUACCUGGGUUUGACAUGGAUCGGGAGUGCUCAGAGAUGGGUGUGCCUCUUUUGGGGUCGGUUCACAGGUGGUGCAUGGCUGUCGUCAGCUCGUGUCGUGAGAUGUUGGGUUAAGUCCCGCAACGAGCGCAACCCUUGUUCACUGUUGCCAGCACGUUAUGGUGGGGACUCAGUGGAGACCGCCGGGGUCAACUCGGAGGAAGGUGGGGAUGACGUCAAGUCAUCAUGCCCCUUAUGUCCAGGGCUUCACGCAUGCUACAAUGGCUGGUACAGAGAGUGGCGAGCCUGUGAGGGUGAGCGAAUCUCGGAAAGCCGGUCUCAGUUCGGAUUGGGGUCUGCAACUCGACCUCAUGAAGUCGGAGUCGCUAGUAAUCGCAGAUCAGCAACGCUGCGGUGAAUACGUUCCCGGG